AUUGAACGCUGGCGGCAGGCCUAACACAUGCAAGUCGAACGGUAACAGGAAGAAGCUUGCUUCUUUGCUGACGAGUGGCGGACGGGUGAGUAAUGUCUGGGAAACUGCCUGAUGGAGGGGGAUAACUACUGGAAACGGUAGCUAAUACCGCAUAACGUCGCAAGACCAAAGAGGGGGACCUUCGGGCCUCUUGCCAUCGGAUGUGCCCAGAUGGGAUUAGCUAGUAGGUGGGGUAACGGCUCACCUAGGCGACGAUCCCUAGCUGGUCUGAGAGGAUGACCAGCCACACUGGAACUGAGACACGGUCCAGACUCCUACGGGAGGCAGCAGUGGGGAAUAUUGCACAACGGGCGCAAGCCUGAUGCAGCCAUGCCGCGUGUAUGAAGAAGGCCUUCGGGUUGUAAAGUACUUUCAGCGGGGAGGAAGGGAGUAAAGUUAAUACCUUUGCUCAUUGACGUUACCCGCAGAAGAAGCACCGGCUAACUCCGUGCCAGCAGCCGCGGUAAUACGGAGGGUGCAAGCGUUAAUCGGAAUUACUGGGCGUAAAGCGCACGCAGGCGGUUUGUUAAGUCAGAUGUGAAAUCCCCGGGCUCAACCUGGGAACUGCAUCUGAUACUGGCAAGCUUGAGUCUCGUAGAGGGGGGUAGAAUUCCAGGUGUAGCGGUGAAAUGCGUAGAGAUCUGGAGGAAUACCGGUGGCGAAGGCGGCCCCCUGGACGAAGACUGACGCUCAGGUGCGAAAGCGUGGGGAGCAAACAGG
rnacentral:rRNA from 1 species